GAUGAACGCUGGCGGCGUGCCUAAUACAUGCAAGUCGAGCGAACAGACGAGGAGCUUGCUCCUCUGACGUUAGCGGCGGACGGGUGAGUAACACGUGGAUAACCUACCUAUAAGACUGGGAUAACUUCGGGAAACCGGAGCUAAUACCGGAUAAUAUAUUGAACCGCAUGGUUCAAUAGUGAAAGACGGUUUUGCUGGCACUUAUAGAUGGAUCCGCGCCGCAUUAGCUAGUUGGUAAGGUAACGGCUUACCAAGGCAACGAUGCGUAGCCGACCUGAGAGGGUGAUCGGCCACACUGGAACUGAGACACGGUCCAGACUCCUACGGGAGGCAGCAGUAGGGAAUCUUCCGCAAUGGGCGAAAGCUUGACGGAGCAACGCCGCGUGAGUGAUGAAGGUCUUCGGAUCGUAAAACUCUGUUAUUAGGGAAGAACAAAUGUGUAAGUAACUAUGCACGUCUUGACGGUACCUAAUCAGAAAGCCACGGCUAACUACGUG
rnacentral:rRNA from 1 species